GCUAAAGGUCUAAAGCCUCUUAAAGGCAUCAGAUUCAAUCUGAUCUUUGAAGCUAAGUAGGGUCAGUUCUGGUUAGUUAGUACUUGAAGUGGGAGACAGCCAACAAAUAUCAGAUACUGUCAACU
rnacentral:rRNA from 11 species